GGACUGGUAAGUUAAUAUUUAAACUGCGGGGUUCAUGUCCCCGUUAUACAUUUGAUGUCUGGUCAG
rnacentral:tRNA from 1 species